UACGUAGGUGGCAAGCGUUGUCCGGAUUUAUUGGGUUUAAAGGGUGCGUAGGUGGUCUAUUAAGUCAGUGCUGAAAUAUCCCGGCUUAACCGGGAGGGUGGCAUUGAUACUGAUGGACUUGAGUAAAGUUGAGGUAGGCGGAAUUGACGGUGUAGCGGUGAAAUGCUUAGAUGUCGUCAAGAACACCUAUAGCGAAGGCAGCUUACUAAGCUUUAACUGACGCUGAGGCACGAAAGUGUGGGGAUCAAACAGG
rnacentral:rRNA from 1 species